CAGAGGCCAAGUAAGCUGUGAGGGACAUCGCUGACUGAAUUUUUCCCAUUUCCUAUAUCCAUGCCCCGAUUCCCCAACACUCAGAGUUGGAAACACCUCCAUCCUGCCUCUCCCUACCAUGGGCUUCUUGCUCCUCUGCUGUGUGGCCUUUUGUCUCUUGGGAACAGGUUCCAUGGAUGCUGGCAUUACCCAGACCCCCCAGAAUGGGAUUAUAAAGAAAGGAAAGAACAUUUCACUGGAGUGUUCUCAGACUAAGGGUCAUAACUAUAUGUACUGGUAUCGACAAGACCCGGGAAUGGGGCUACGGCUGAUCUCCUACUCCUUUGGUGUCAUUUAUAUUAAUGAAGGAGAGGUCUCCAAUGGGUACAGUGCCUCUCGAACGGACCUGGAGAAAUUCUCCCUGUCUGUAGGGACUGCCAUUCCCAACCAGACAGCUCUCUACUUCUGUGCCAGCAGUGAUUCACACAGUGCUUAUUGGUCACCUGCUCCCCAUACAGAAAGCAGGCACAUUUGCUCGGACCACACAGAAGUCUUCCUCCAUGUGGGACAUGGGGACCUAGAGGGGUCUGAGUAG